rnacentral:rRNA from 1 species
ACUCCUACGGGAGGCAGCAGUGGGGAAUAUUGCACAAUGGGCGCAAGCCUGAUGCAGCCAUGCCGCGUGUAUGAAGAAGGCCUUCGGGUUGUAAAAUACUUUCAGCGGGGAGGAAGGGAGUAAAGUUAAUACCUUUGCUCAUUGACGUUACCCGCAGAAGAAGCACCGGCUAACUCCGUGCCAGCAGCCGCGGUAAU